rnacentral:piRNA from 1 species
GCAGAAACCAGGGUCCCACGCAAACAGCCA